GACGAACGCUGGCGGCGUGCCUAAUACAUGCCAGUAGAACGCUGAAGAGAGGAGCUUGCUCUUCUUGGAUGAGUUGCGAACGGGUGAGUAACGCGUAGGUAACCUGCCUUGUAGCGGGGGAUAACUAUUGGAAACGAUAGCUAAUACCGCAUAACAAUGGAUGACACAUGUCAUUUAUUUGAAAGGGGCAAUUGCUCCACUACAAGAUGGACCUGCGUUGUAUUAGCUAGUAGGUGAGGUAACGGCUCACCUAGGCGACGAUACAUAGCCGACCUGAGAGGGUGAUCGGCCACACUGGGACUGAGACACGGCCCAGACUCCUACGGGAGGCAGCAGUAGGGAAUCUUCGGCAAUGGGGGCAACCCUGACCGAGCAACGCCGCGGGAGUGAAGAAGGUUUUCGGAUCGUAAAGCUCUGUUGUAAGUCAAGAACGAGUGUGAGAGUGGAAAGUUCACACUGUGACGGUAGCUUACCAGAAAGGGACGGCUAACUACGUG
rnacentral:rRNA from 1 species